GCCUAGGUAGCUCAGAGGUAGAGUGAGUAUAAGUGAGCGGAAGCGCCUAGCAACAACUAGCAGGUGGUCGCAGGUUCGAAUCCUGCCCGGUGGCU